rnacentral:rRNA from 1 species
AGUGAACGCUGGCGGCAGGCCUAACACAUGCAAGUCGAGCGGCAGCGCGUCCGACCACCCUCGGGUGGUCGGAUGGCGGCGAGCGGCGGACGGGUGAGGAAUACAUAGGAAUCUGCCCAGUCGUGGGGGAUAACCCGGGGAAACCCGGACUAAUACCGCAUACGCCCUACGGGGAAAGGCCGGGGAGUCUUCGGACCUGGCGCUAGUAGAUGAGCCCGCGUGAGAUUAGCUUGUUGGUGGGGUAAGUGGCCUACCAAGGCAACGAUCUCUAGCUGGUCUGAGAGGACGAUCAGCCACACUGGGACUGAGACACGGCCCAGACUCCUACGGGAGGCAGCAGUGGGGAAUAUUGGACAAUGGGCGAAAGCCUGAUCCAGCAAUGCCGCGUGUGUGAAGAAGGCCUGAGGGUUGUAAAGCACUUUCAAUCGUGAAGAAAAGUUAGCAGGCUAAUACCCUGUGACCUUGACGUUAACGAUACAAGAAGCACCGGC